UUAUUUUUACUUAUAGAUGAAAUACAGUGAUUUGAUUUUAACCAAAUGUGUUAUAUUCCAGUAACAGUUGUUGAACAUUUAUGAUAAAAUUGAUUUUCAUUUCUUGGUAGUGUUGUAUGUAAACAUAAAGAUACAAUCACUUUCAUUUGUUUGAUCUUUUUGUUUGUGGGGUUGGAAGUUCACUUAGAUUUGCCUUUGUCCGUAUGUCAGUCCAUUCAUCUGUCCUUUGAUCUGUCCAUCUGAUUUCUGUUGUGCAUAUCUCAAAAAGUAUUUGACUUAGAGUCAUCAAACCUCAAAGGAUUGUUAUUCAGCAUGUGAAGUUGUGCACCAUUUGUUAUGCCCCCCUUCGAAGAAAUUUUUUGCAAAUGUUGGUCGGUCGGACGGUCGGUCAGUCUGCCUAGACCAAUCGGUUUCUGGAUGAUCACUCAAGAACGCUUGGACCUAGGAUCAUGAAAGUUGAUAGGGAGGUUGGUCAUGACCAGCUGAUGACCCCUAUUGAUUUUGAGGUCAGUAGGUCAAAGGUCAAGGACAUUGAUCAGGAACAGUCAAUCGGUUUCUGGAGGAUAACUCAAGAAUGCUUGGGCCUAGGAUCAUGAAAGUUGAUAGGGGGAUUGGUCAUGACCAGCAGAUGACCCCUACUGAUUUGAGGUCAGUAGAUCAAAGGUCAAUGUCGCAGUGACCUGGAACAAUUAAACCGUUUCCAGAUGAUAACUCAAGAAUGCUUGGGCCUAGGAUCAUGAAAGUUGAUAGGGAGGUUGAUCAUGACCAGCAGGUGACCCCUUCUGAAUUUGAAAUCAGUGGGUCAAAGGUCAAGGUCACAGUUAAAUCAUUUCUGGGUGAUAACUGAAGAACCCCUGUGCCUAAAAUUACGAAACUAAAUAGGAAGGUUGAUCAUGACAAGCAGAUGACCCUUAUUGAUUUUGAGGUCAAAGAUCAAGGUCACAGUGACCGGGAACAGUUAAAUCGUUUCUGGAUGAUAACUUAAGUAGGCUUGGGCCUAGGAUCACGAAACUUAUACGGAGGUUGAUCAUGACCAGUAGAUGAUCCCUAUUGAUUUUGAGGUCAGUAGGUCAAAGGUCAAGGUCAUGUUGACUGAAUGCAUCAAGGGGUGCAUUUUGUGUUCUACAAGCUCUUGUUUAAAUUGGCAUUUCACACAGCUGUAACUGAGUUAUCAAUAUGGCCCUUCGUAAAAAUUAAGCAUACAGUGACAGCGCUGGGGCAAGUGUGAGUAUCCUUUGGACACAUAUCUAGCUCAUUAUUAUGAUAUUGGUAGUUAUUGUUUAACAACAAAGCUAAAUUAUCAAGUUUUCACUAUAUGUCUUAGUUAGAGAAAUGAAUUUAAAAUAAACCAAUUUAAAAUAAAUAGUACUAUGACAUCAGUAAUAUUUGUAGGUGACUUAUUACUGUGAUUUCACAGGAAAUAAAACCCAGUCAUUUUAUCAUCAGUAAUUCAUGUCUACAUGAAGUAGUAGUUUUGACCAAAACAACACAGGAAUACGCAGCUGUAUGUAGGAUUGUUGAUGUAGAGAUAACAUAAUUAUGCUUUUUUAAUCCCCCGCCGUGGCGGAGGGAUUAUAGGAAUAUUCUGCGUCCGUCCUUCCGUCCGUAACAAAAUCGUGUCCAGUCCAUAUCUCCUAAACCCCUUGAAGGAUUUUCAUGAAACUUGGGUCAAAUGAUCACCUCAUCAAGACGAUGUGCAGAACCCAUGAGUCAGCCUUGUCGGUUCAAGGUCAAGGUCACAACUCAAGGUCAAAGGUUUGAGCCUGCCAUUUUGUGUCCGCUCUAUAUCUCCUAAACCCCUUGAAGGAAUUUUAUAAAACUUGGGUCAAAUGAUCACCUCAUCAAGACGAUGUGCAGAACCCAUGAGUCAGCCAUGCUGGCUCAAGGUCAAGGUCACAACUCAAGGUCAAAGGUUUGAGCCUUCCAUUUUGUGUCCGCUCUAUAUCUCUUAAAACUUGGGUCAAAUGAUCACCUCAUCAAGACGAUGUGCAGAACCCAUGAGUCAGCCAUGCCGGCUCAAGGUCAAGGUCACAACUCAAGGUCAAAGGUUUGAGCCUUCCAUUUUGUGUCCGCUCUAUAUCUCUUAAACCCCUUGAAGGAAUUUUAUAAAUCUUGGGUCAAAUGAUCACCUCAUCAAGACAAUGUGCAGAACCCAUGAGUCAGUCAUGCCAGCUCAAGGUCAAGGUCACAACUUAGGGUCAAAGGUUUGAGCCAUCCAUUUUGUGUCUGCUCUAUAUCUCCUAAACCCAUUGAAGGAUUUUUAUCAAACUUGGGUCAAACAAUCACCUCAUCAAGGCAAUGUGCAGAACUUAUGAGUCAGCCAUGUCUACUCAAGGUCAAGGUCACAACUGAAGGUCAAAGGUUUGAGCCUUCCCUUGAAGGAUUUUCAUCAAACUUGGGUCAAAUGAUCACCUCAUCAAGAACUCAUGAGUCAGCCAUGUCAACUCAAGGUCAAGGUCACAACUGAAGGUCAAAGGUUUCAGCUCUGUAUCUCCUAAACCCCUUGAAGGAUUUUCAUGAAACUUUGGUCAAAUGAUCACCUCAUCAAGACGUUGUGCAGAAUUCAUGAGUCAGCCAUGUCAGUUCAAGGUCAAGGUCACAGCUAAAAUCAAAGGUUUACCCUUUCACUAUCCAUAGCAGUGACGGGGGAUUUAGCUGUCUUUCAGACUGCCUUGUCAUGUUUUAACUACUAUGAUUUGUCAGUACAUUCUGGAAGGAUAACCAUGAUACUGUUUUGUAUACCAAAUAAAGAAAGAUGGAGCAUGAAUAUGAUACUUGUACUUUGUGAAGUUUCAACUCUCUUAGGCCAAUUUUUUUUUAUUAUUAGUUUUACCGAUUUUUCUGGAAAAAAGAUAGGGUCGGCGGUGGGAAAAAAAAAAGUUGGCAGAUAAAUGUUAAAGACAAUCGUUAUCGUUUUAUUUUUCUCACAUUUAAUUUUCUUUGAUUUACAGUACAUCCAAAGUGAAAAGUCCCAAUGGAUACCCAGCGUGUCCAGACACGGUGUUCGCCAACCACGCUGUUUCGCCGUGAAAUCGCAGCGAAUCGUAGUGUUCAAGAUUGUUUUAAAAUAUGCUAUUUUCCAUUUUAUUUUAUCCAAAAUGAAAAGAAAUACAUAUAUAUAUAUAUGUUAACAUAAAAUAACAUCGUAAUUUUUUAGUUUCGAUGUUCGUCUGCUAGUUGAUUUUGGAGACUUUUCGUAUUUUGCAGGUAGAGCACUUGACAAGAAGCGUUUACGAUGAGACUGUGCUUAAUAAACAAUAAAACCUGUGAAUUCAGUUGUUUUCUUUAGAGUUCACUUUUGCAGUUUUGUAUGUUCGUUGCAAACUUCUGUUGUUGUACAUUUUAGUACGAUAACGUUAUUUAACUCUUCGUUCACAGUUUGCAUGGAAUUUGAUAAUUAUUUAAGAGGGCAAGAGGAAAGCUGUACACGAGCCUUGGAAGCAAGAACUUACAAUUUAAUGUUUGUUUUGUUAAUAACAUAAUUUUAUUAGCAUUAAAUGUCAUAAUAUAUCUAUAGCAUCAUAUAAUACAAAGACCUGUGUAUUGAUAGUGCUAACAGAUUAUUUUGUGUUCAUCAUAUAAUUCAUAUAUGACAAAAAUUGUUUAUUCUCCAUUCUGUAUUAUUUUCGGCAAAAUUAAGAUAUUUGCAUAUUUGUAAAAAACAUA